AUGUACAUGCCUACAACAUAUCGUUAAUGCAAUGGAUCCCAUUACAACUAUGUAAUUAACCGCACUUGGGCUAGAGUAGUACUAGGAUGGAUGACUGCUUAAGAAGUCCUAGUGUUUUACAUG
rfam:Picea glauca, whole genome shotgun sequence.